rnacentral:rRNA from 1 species
AGAGUUUGAUCCUGGCUCAGGACGAACGCUGGCGGCGUGCCUAACACAUGCAAGUCGAGCGGGAACCUCAGGAGGGGUAACCCUUCUGAGGGGAGAGCGGCGAACGGGUGAGUAACACGUGGGUAACCUGCCCCGGACACCGGGAUAACCCAGGGAAACCUGAGCUAAUACCGGAUACUCCGGCGCGAUCGCAUGGUCGCGCCGGGAAAGCUCCGACGGUCCGGGAUGGGCCCGCGGCCUAUCAGCUUGUUGGUGGGGUAACGGCCCACCAAGGCGACGACGGGUAGCUGGUCCGAGAGGACGGCCAGCCACACUGGGACUGAGACACGGCCCAGACUCCUACGGGAGGCAGCAGUGGGGGAUCUUGCGCUAAUGCGCGAAAGCGUGACGCAGCGACGCCGCGUGGGGGAUGAAGGCCUUCGGGUUGUAAACCCCUUUCGGCAGGGACGAAGGGAAACUGACGGUACCUGCAGAAGAAGUCCCGGCUAACUACGUGCCAGCAGCCGCGGUAAU